GAUGAAGAACGCAGCGAAAUGCGAUAAGUAAUGUGAAUUGCAGAAUUCAGUGAAUCAUCGAAUCUUUGAACGCACAUUGCGCCCGCCAGUAUUCUGGCGGGCAUGCCUGUCUGAGCAUCAUUUCAACCCUCAUGCCCCUAGGGCGUGGUGUUGGGGAUCGGCCAAAGCCCGCGAGGGACGGCCGGCCCCUAAAUCUAGUGGCGGACCCGUCGUGGCCUCCUCUGCGAAGUAGUGAUAUUCCGCAUCGGAGAGCGACGAGCCCCUGCCGUUAAACCCCCAACUUUCCAAGGUUGACCUCAGAUCAGGUAGGAAUACCCGCUGAACUUAAGCAUAUCAAUAAGCGGAGGA
rnacentral:misc_RNA from 1 species